GGGCUGGUGGCUGACUGGGAAGCGCCUCGCUUAUAACGGGGUUGAGCUUUAUGCUCGAAUGCAGGUUCGAAUCCUGUCCGGCCCA
rnacentral:tRNA from 1 species